rnacentral:lncRNA from 1 species
UCUUUAAAACACCUAACUAGUGAGAGAGAGUAUGAAAAUAAAAUUUUGCAAGGGUUUCAAAGUGAGAGAGUGGAAGAGCACAAGGGUUUAUGAAAGGAGUGCACCAAGGCAUGAAAAGUGGAGUUAUUUUAAGGGAGGUUAUGGAGCUUUCAUAUCAAACUUUCAUGGAGGAUGAAAACAACAUGAUAUGAGAGGAAGAAGAAGGAGAAAAG